ensembl:lncRNA
CGUGGGGGGCAGGAGAGUGUCAGCGCACCCACAUGAGGAACAGGAUACCACUAUCGGGCUAAUUAGGAGAUGAUCAUACAGUAACGAUUACACAGUGAUGUGGGGGGAAUCGAGAACCAGCGGGGAAUGCCAGCAAAACCACAGAGCUCAUUUUCCACGGCUUGUGCAGAGACACGCCCACUCUUAAUCACGAGCGGUAGCAACAUUUCAUCAUUAGGUGAUGCCUCAUUCCCACAAAGCUCUCAGAGAGUAAGCUUGCAAGAUAAGUCACAAGGAGCUCAGGUUCAUCGGCGAGGCAUCCAGGACUCAUUUUCCUUCCCUUUCCUUCGAGACGGCACACCUGGGACCACUGGCCUCUGCACUGGACCCUCAACACAAGUUCUGUCCUGCUCCAUUUAAUGGCAUUCCAGAGGCCCAUCUGAUGAUAAGGUGUUGCCCUGGAGAGAGCGGCCAAAGGGCCCCGGUGUGUCUUGUGCAGGUAUCAGUGUCACCGUUCUGACUCUCACAUCUGGCAGCUGUGCACACACGUACACUCUCUCUCUCUCUCUCUCUCUCUUUUCACACAUACACACACUUAUAGUUUCAAAGCACUCCCUGCAGAGAAACUUGCAGAGGUGAGAACAGACACAGAGCACCUUGACAAAGCUGCCAUAGCGCUGGGCUAGAUGCUUUCUGUUCCUUCUGUCUCGCUCCGCCUCUCAUGCUGUCAGUCUCCGUCUUUAGCACUCACCCGUCAGUCAGGCCCUGUUCAGACCUGCCAUUAACAUCCGUCUUGUGUGAUUUUUAUCACAGCUGGGUGCGGCCCACACGCACUGAGGACUCAGUGACAACCCAUCAGGAAUUCAGUGCAAUAUCUGAAUGGAAAUAUAAAUAUACAAAUCAGACCAAAGAUUUGGACACACCUUCAAUGUGUUUUCUUUAUUUUCAUGACCAUUUACAUUGGUAGAUUCUCACUGAAGGCACCAAAACUAUGAAUGAACACAUGUGGAGUUAUGUACUUAACAAAAAAAGGUGAAACAGCUGAAAACAUGUUUUAUAUUCUAGUUUCUUCAAAAUAGCCACCCUUUGCUCUGAUUACUGCUUUGCACACUCUUGGCAUUCUCUCGAUGAGCUUCAAGAGGUCGUCACCUGAAAUGGUUUUCCAACAGUCUUGAAGGAGUUCCCAGAGGUGUUCAGCACUUGUUGGCCCCUUUGCCUUCACUCUGCGGUUCAGCUCACCCCAAACCAUCUGGAUUGGGUUCAGGUCCGGUGACUGUGGAGGCCAGGUCUCCACUUUUUGAUAAGUACAUAACUCCACAUGUGUUCAUUCAUAGUUUUGAUGCCUUCAGUGAGAAUCUACCAACGUAAAUGGUCAUGAAAAUAACACAUUGAAUGAGAAGGUGUGUCCAAACAUUUGGCCUGUACUGUAUGUGUAUGUGUGUGUAUAUAUGUAUAUAUAAUUCUUUUUUUUGUAGUUCAUAGACACAAAAGACCUGUUUUUUUGUUUCAGUGUGAAAUCAUUUUAUAACAUUCCAGUUAGCUGGGGCACUUUAAAAGUUAUGGGGUAGUGGGACUUGAACCUUUGACUUUGUGGUUAUCUGGUUCAUAGGUAAGACUUACUUGCUAGGCUAGAAACAGUCCCACAUGUUUUUUUUUUGUUGUUUUUUUUUUUUGGAGGGGGGGCACAUUGUUAUUUGGGCAGAGAAAGGAGAUCUGAGCCUAAGUGAGACUCAUUAUAAUGCCAGGUCUUAAUUGACCCAAGGCGGAUGUUAUUGGAAAGUCUGAAAAGGGCCUCACUCUCCCAGUUCUCCCUUCUGUUCUUCCUGCUGCGACUGUCUGUCUCGCCACCACACCCCUUCACUGGAGACCAGCUGAGGAGUGGUGGAUGCCAUGCAGAACAAAUGGGCCUGCCAAAGGGAAGCAGAGGCCCGGGAAAAGGUGAGGUGGGAGAAGGUGAGGUGUCAUGUGGGAUGUGAUAGAGUGGAGUCUUGAUGGUGACAGGGGGUGUAGCAUAUUAAUGUGUCACAACUGUUGAGAUCCAGUGCAUCAUUAAAAAAUGCCAUUUAUUGCAUGUAUUUUAACUAACUAGCUAAAUAAAAAAAAAAAACAUUUUAGUUAGAGUUGCUUAAUUUUUGUUGUACUGUUUUCUUUUAAUCUGGCCUUCUUUAAUAUUUUUUUUUUUUUUCAGAAAUGUAUCAUUUUUCUUUUGUGUAUCAUGCAUUUUCUUUUUUUUGCAAACAGAAUAAAAAGCAAAAAAAUAUGCACUCACAUGCAGGACAAUAGGGAAUUAAUUAAUUUAAAAAAUAUUAAUUUACCUUUCUUCAAAUGUGUUCAUUUUUUUUUCAUUGCGUUCAGUUGUGUUUUAAUUGUGUUGCCUUCAUGUGACCAUGAAAAAAAUAUUUGAAUACCUGUAUUAAAGGAGAAAUACAAGAACUUGACAUUGUGUGCAGGAAAAGAUUUGUCCAUAUCACGUUAGCAGAAUAUCGCACCAUAGUUAACUAGCAGCAAGAAAGUCAGCUGGAUCAAGGUCAUACAAGAUUAACAAAAAUCUGCAAGUUAUUCAAAACCCAGUGAAAUGUCCUCCACUGUGAUUCACCAGCUACUCAAAAUCUUAAUUUUCAAUUUUUGAUAAAUUCUUGUUUUUUAUUUUUUUGUUUUUGUGGCAAACAUAACAAAGCAAUUCAAUUUCUUUCCAUAAUUUGCAUUUUACAUCUGAUACCAAGCACCGUAUUCAUGAAGAACAACACAAGCAGUUUGUGAAAAAAACGCAUCUGAGAGGAGGUCAGAAUUCUUUUAUUUUUUUUAUUUUGGAGAAUUGCGAUACCAUCACCUCGCCUUUGUAGCGGUGACCUACUUUAGCUGUAAUUAUUUCCAGAACUGUUCUAUUCCUAUCACAGCUUCCCAUGUGAAAUCAAAAUAUUUGAUUUUUCCUUCAUGGGUGAAAUAUGAUUUUUUUUAAGAAGGUUAAAAUACAGCUAUAGUCUGAUGAGGAUCUUCAAACAAUCUCUGAACAUCUAAGCCUGGGUAGAUAAAGCAUGAGUACAGAUACAAUGAUUAUCAAGAACAGAAGUUAAUCGCAAUGUCAGUUUCAUCUCCUUUCAGGGCUAUUUUUAUUCAUGAUGACAAGCAUAAAGCACCUUUUUCCCCAGACACCAAAACUAUUUUAAACAUCACAUUUCUACAUUCAUUUAAUUUUUCAAAUAAAUGUCCAGGCCAUACUUGAUGUUUUGUGUCCAGAGUGUAAGAAUGUGAAGUAGAUGGAUUCAUGUGCGGAUCAAGGGUCGUAAUUCAUAGCUGCAGACCUGGGGUGUGGUACAGUGGGUGCAGGGUGCACGGGUGGAGCUCCAAGGAUCAAGCUCCGCAACCCUGUUGACUUCUCCAGAUGUCAGUCACUUGGUACGUGGGAGUUAGCAAUUGUCUCACUGGCUACUUGCAGAAAAUUGCAUAAAUUUGGAAUUGGUUUUAGAUUAAGAUUAGGUACAGCAAUACACAAGGGGCACACAUACACUCAAUAAGCAUUAAACACAAGAGACACACACUGUUAACUUUGUUUAUUUCACCUCUUGAUUGUGUGUGUGUGUUGUGUAUCUGCGUAUGUGUCCAUGUUUUAGUGUGUACCUCUGAUUUUUGGCCUCGUCUUUAAAAAUGAUGUUUUUGGCUACAUUUAACACAGAAUUACCAUAAAUUCAAAGCUAAAGUAUUAUUCUGCUUUUAUUUAUAGACAUGGUCAAUAUCCCAAAAAGUGAAAAAGAAUACUCGAAAUGAAUGUAAGAUAAGGCUUUCUGUCACACUGAAUGCCCCUGCGAUGUUGGCGACCUAUAAGGCUCUCUUCUGAGCUGCAGAAAAAGAAAAACUACACAGGAAAAACUGAGCAGAUGGGUACCACACCUUCAGAGAAAAAAAACGUUUAUAUGUAUAUAUAGAUAGAUUUUAUAUUCAUAUAGAUUUAUAUUUAUUCCGAAGCUUUUAAAAUAGUACAGUAAACACUGUUUAACACACAUGAUAUAAACUACGGGAUGUUGUAUUUUUUUUUUUAACAAUGCAGGUCAAUAAUGUCCUGACCCACUACAAAGAACAAAAAUGUAAUUUGGAAAAAUAAAAUAAUAAAAAAAAAUCUCCUCAUCUCAGUCUUUUCUUUCUUUUCUUUUCUUUUUUUUUGUAUAAAGUUGGGGAAACACCUGACCACACACACAGAGUAGAAAACAGUCAAGUCUAAAAGAGUGCUAUUGCAUUUAUAAUGCACAAAGUUUUUUCCUGUACAAUUGGCUUCUCGGUGCGUAUACAAACAACUAAAGGGCUCAGUGAAUAUUUCCGUAUUUUGUGGUCUUCUUUUUCUUCCUCUUUUUUUUUUUUUUUAUAAGAUGUACAGUAGCACUGUAAACAGGCACACACAGAUGUGAGAGGAACAACCUUCCCACUCAUUUAACUUCCCAGUCCUCCUCCUGCUCCCUCCAUCCACCACGCCGGGGCAUGUCUUCAUUCUCCUGUUCAUUCUCCUGAUUCACCCGUCCUGUGUUCAACUGUCUCAGUCCGGCUGAGAUGCGUUCAGUCUGUUUUAAUUCCGGCUGUCUUCCUCCUCCUUUGUCCGAGUCCAUCUCUCCACCCCUCACCCCUGUAAUAAUGUCCUGGGGCUCGGGCGCAUCCACGGACGGCUAAGAAAAAAAUGGAGUUGAAAACUUGCUCUUCCUUUUUGUCACUUGUGACUGAUUGUGCAAAAAAAUAAAUGAACACAAGAAGGAGAGUAAAAGGAUAAGAGUCCUUCAUGCGGUCUCAG